rnacentral:rRNA from 1 species
CCUACGGGAGGCAGCAGUGGGGAAUAUUGCACAAUGGGGGAAACCCUGAUGCAGCGACGCCGCGUGAGUGAAGAAGUAAUUCGUUACGUAAAGCUCUAUCAGCAGGGAAGAAACACUGACCUUACGGUCAGCAGACGGUACCUGAGUAAGAAGCCCCGGCUACCUACGUGCCAGCAGCCGCGGUAAUACGUAGGGGGCAAGCGUUAUCCGGAUUUACUGGGUGGAAAGGGAGCGUAGACGGUGCGCCAAGUCAGGAGUGAAAUGCCGCAGCUUAACUGCGGAACUGCUUUUGAAACUGGCGAACUAGAGUGCGGGAGGGGUAAGCGGAAUUCCUAGUGUAGCGGUGAAAUGCGUAGAUAUUAGGAGGAACACCGGUGGCGAAGGCGGCUUACUGGACCGUAACUGACGUUGAGGCUCGAAAGCGUGGGGAGCAAACAGGAUUAGAUACCCCAGUAGUC